AUCAUUCCUACCAAGAAGAAGAGAAAAAGACAUGCAAAAUUCCCAUAUUAUCCGAGUCUAUUUUCAUCAGAAGCCCCCAUCCUGUAGACUUUGCUUACAGGUCAUUAGGCCAAAUUGGGUGACACGGCUGCUCCAAUGUGUAGAGGAGUCUGGGGAUGUGAGUAUUUUCACCUGAGCACAUUGCCAGUCAUUCCUUCUGGCAAGGGAGCAGAGAACCUAUACUGGGGAAUCAACCAGCAGUAUCUUCUGUGGGGCGAUUAUGUGAGAAAGGUUAGGCUUGAACAUAGCAGCAUGCAGCCUUCUUAGACUUAUUACUUUUCUUUGUGAGAGACAAAAAUAUUAAAGCAAUCCAUUUGAUUCUAAUUCUAACAGGAAGUAAAGAAUAAAUCACCAUCAGCCCCGGGCUAGUUUUCCUCAUAAAAUGGGGGGCACUUAGAGGGAUCCACGUCCUCUAAACCUCUGUGUUCCAGCCCUUUUGGUCUUACCGACAGGGCCUCCUAUUUUUUAAAAUUAAAUUCCACCUUGCAAAAGUAGUUGGAAAAAUCCAAGCUCCGCAAGUUGCUAGGAGACCCGAGGGGCUUUAUUGGGUGAGCGGUCUGGGGCCUGCGUGGCUGAAUUUCUCUCUCCUGAUGACAGACAUGCCUGAAACGUGUUUAAUCUCCAAAGCUGUGUGGAGGUGGGCAGAGUUUCAGCUCCGAGCAGAGGGCGAUCCCCCCAUCACAGGCUGUGGCAAGUUCUCCCGAAGAGAAGCCACAGGCCGCCGAAGUACAGAAAAGGGUUUGUGACCUUCCUCCCAUCAGGCGGCGACCCUGCUAGAGCAGUGCCAUCUUCAAGAACCCUCUGCCCUCACCCUGUUAAGGCUUGCUCCCCGGGUUGCUAUUCUCAGACCAGCGAGCUCCUGGGGGAAAGGGUCUGUGCGAUGCAGCCUGUGGUCUCCGAGACCAGCCGUGGAUGCCAGGAUGGAUCUGCUUUUCCUCCCAGCCCCCCCCCCCCUCCCCCGCCAUCUUUCUGCCCUGUCUCCCUGCCCUCCCCCCCCCCCCCCCCAUUGCUGGAAUGAUAUCUUUGUUAGCUAAAUUGAGCACGUGCCAGAUGCCCUUCAUCUAAAUGAGCAAGUGCUUUCUGGGACGCGGCCUGAUGAAAGCAUCGCCGAGCAGAGCUCCGUGAGCGCGCCAAACCCGGGCUGCCGGAAAGGAAAACCGUGUUAUUUUAAGAGGACUGCGUGUGCCGGCUCAUGGUCAGACACCAGGAAGAGGCAGAGUCGCGUAGCAGGAUCUUCAUUCCUGUGCAGCCCUCCCGGCCCGGCACCCUCCGGCUGCAGAUGAGAGAUGGCUCUGGGGAAAUUCCAUUCUGUAAUUCAUUUAAGCAGGAUAAACAGAGCUCCCGCUCUGGAAGAUUCGGCCCAGAGCUCAAGGCGCUCGGCGUCUGCAUGGGGUCUCGGAUGUCCACGGGCACACGGGAGUCAGGCGACCUGAGAUGCAGCCGGCCCUGACACCAAAAAGCCAUCGGACCUGAGAAAUUCCCAGUCCUGGCUGGACCCCCGCACGUGACGGACACCGGGACAGCAAUUGAUGAUGACGCCCGCGUCCAGCGUAAUGCUCUCUGACAGGAGGGAGCACAGAGCACAGUCACCAGUAAAGAAGAGACUCCCAUGCAGAAGAUGCCAAAUGAAGACAAGAGUCCCUGGAGGAUGAGAAGUCACGUGGAGGAGAGGUGAGGCACAUCACCCAACAACCAGCCAUGUUGGCAGAGAUUUAAGGAAAUUCUUUGGGGAGGCCCCUGCAAAGUCCGUCUUCUAAAAUAUGAAUGGUGUUGAUGGAAAAAGCUGAAAAGCUUUUUUUGAGCCUGAAUCGGACUACCACCAUGUGGCCAACAGCGUGGCUCUUUUCCCACCAAACCCAGUACCAGAAGGACCAUUAAGAAGAGCUGAGGGGACUUUCAAGCUCCCUGCCCAUCCCUCUGAUGGAGAUGUUAAUGAAUCAACCAAACUGCCAGAAAAGAAGACUGCAGGAAGGAAAGUGAAAACUCAGGAGCCUGGGCCACUGCCAAGCUAGAAACGCAGACGCUGAGGAAAUGGAAGGUACUGGAGGACUAACGUAAAGGAGCAACCCACAGACCCACGCCUUGGGAGCACUGCGCUACGGUUUCCAGAAGGUGGAGGGCCGUCUCAUUUGGCAGUGCUGCCCCACCCAGAUCACGUUCUGUCCCCAGUGUGACCAGCUGGGUGUUCACCUGAGCUGAGCAAGGGUGAGCUGGAACCAGGAGCCUGGCUUUCUGGCUCACAGUACCGAGGAGCAGGCAAUGGACUCGUCCAAGCACUCUCUCCUUACUUGAGCACGAUUUGCUAACAGGAUGAGGAAAGGGAGAAGAAGACAAAGACUUUGUUUUUUAGGACAACUUUGUAAAUCCCACUGGCCUACAUUUUAUUGGUUUCCUACUCAUGCUGCUUUCUAUUUGAUCUUUAUCUAUUUUGUUGGUUUUUUAACAUCAUAACAGCAACAGCAAGGUCUCACAACCCUUUUGAACCUCGGUGUAGUUUUAAUGAACAUAAAAACUGUCCAUGGUCUCUAAGGGUUAUUUGAAAUUCCAAAAUAAAUAGCAUCGGUGAAACAAAUGCGCAAGUCAUUUUAGAAUAAAGUUUCCGAACAGAUGAAAUAUUUUACACAGCAAUUUAAUGUCCAUCGGGUUAAAAAGAAGAAAACACCACAAAAAUGCAGUUUGGUUUUUUGAUAGCCCCGUUCCCUGACCCCACCGCCGCCUUUUUUCCUGGGCCAUUUCUGUGUAUGUUGGGCUCUCUAGUCUAGAACUUUUGGGGAGUUUUGCUCCAGAUGGGUCAGGAGUUAAAUGUGGAAGCAGAAAGUAGAGAAAUGGGGCGGAUGUGAUGAGGGGAAGAGAACCUGUUUACUGUAACGUCUUGGGGUGGAAUGAUCGAAGUAUACGGAAGUCUGUACUAGGAGAUAAAAUAGUUGGAAUGGCCUCGGUUGGAGAAAACAGAAAAAAGAACGGUGUCCAGCCAAUUAGAUGUAAAAAGGUGGCUCCCGGAUUUAAAGUAUCUGAACCACAGAGAUCAGGAUUAGCAUAACUGAUUUAUGCCUGUGUCCCUGAGGCUCACAAUACGUCCAGGCCUCGGUAUCUGCAAAGCGAGAGUAAUGCUCAGUCGCCAGAGGCUGCAGGGCGGGAUCUUGAAUCUUGGAUCUUGGGAAAGAGGGGACGCAGGGAGCAGCUCGCGUCUUUUCUUCCCAGCGCGGCUUUCCUCCCGGAGGCUGCAGUGAUUGUCUCUGGCUCUUAGGGACGGCGGGGCCCCUCGGACCCCCGGCUCCCUCGCGUCCCUCGGACAGGCACCCGCAGCGGCGGGAGGGUGCGGCGCUUCCAGGGCUCCCGUCCCCGAGUCGCUGCGGACGUCAGAGCCGGGUGUCGAGGAGGCUGGCGGCGGGUGUCUCGGGCCGAGCUCCUUCAG